AAACUUUCAACAACGGAUCUCUUGGCUCUGGCAUCGAUGAAGAACGCAGCGAAAUGCGAUACGUAAUGCGAAUUGCAGAUUCAGCGAGUCAUCGAAUCUUUGAACGCACAUUGCGCCCGCCAGCAUUCUGGCGGGCAUGCCUGUCCGAGCGUCAU
rnacentral:rRNA from 1 species